GACAGAGGGUGCGAACGUUGUUCGGAAUUACUGGGCGUAAAGCGCAUGUAGGCGGCUGCGCAAGUCGGGCGUGAAAUCCCACGGCUCAACCGUGGAAGUGCACUCGAAACUGCGCAGCUAGAGUCCUGGAGAGGAAGGUGGAAUGCUUGGUGUAGAGGUGAAAUUCGUAGAUAUCAGGCGGAACACCGGUGGCGAAGGCGGCCUUCUGGACAGUGACUGACGCUGAGAUGCGAAAGCGUGGGGAGCAAACAGG
rnacentral:rRNA from 1 species